UGACGCUGGGACAACUCCCAUGGAUGCC
rnacentral:piRNA from 1 species